CACUUAUGUGACGUAAGGUCCUUGCCUGC
rnacentral:piRNA from 1 species